rnacentral:rRNA from 1 species
ACAAGCGGUGGAUGAUGUGGAUUAAUUCGAUGCAACGCGAAGAACCUUACUACCCUUGACAUGUCCGGAACUUGCCAGAGAUGGCUUGGUGCCCGAAAGGGAAUCGGAACACAGGUGCUGCAUGGCUGUCGUCAGCUCGUGUCGUGAGAUGUUGGGUUAAGUCCCGCAACGAGCGCAACCCUUAUCAUUAGUUGCUACGCAAGGGCACUCUAAUGAGACUGCCGGUGACAAACCGGAGGAAGGUGGGGAUGACGUCAAGUCCUCAUGGCCCUUAUGGUAGGGCUUCACACGUCAUACAAUGGUCGGUACAGAGGGUUGCCAAGCCGCGAGGCGGAGCCAAUCCCACAAAGCCGAUCGUAGUCCGGAUUGUUCUCUGCAACUCGAGAGCAUGAAGUCGGAAUCGCUAGUAAUCGCAGGUCAGCAUACUGCGGUGAAUACGUUCCCGGGUCUU